rnacentral:rRNA from 1 species
AGAGUUUGAUCCUGGCUCAGGAUGAACGCUAGCUACAGGCUUAACACAUGCAAGUCGAGGGGCAGCAUUUCAGUUUGCUUGCAAACUGGAGAUGGCGACCGGCGCACGGGUGAGUAACACGUAUCCAACCUGCCGAUAACUCGGGGAUAGCCUUUCGAAAGAAAGAUUAAUACCCGAUGGCAUAAUUAGACCGCAUGGUCUUAUUAUUAAAGAAUUUCGGUUAUCGAUGGGGAUGCGUUCCAUUAGGCAGUUGGUGAGGUAACGGCUCACCAAACCUUCGAUGGAUAGGGGUUCUGAGAGGAAGGUCCCCCACAUUGGAACUGAGACACGGUCCAAACUCCUACGGGAGGCAGCAGUGAGGAAUAUUGGUCAAUGGACGAGAGUCUGAACCAGCCAAGUAGCGUGAAGGAUGACUGCCCUAUGGGUUGUAAACUUCUUUUAUAUGGGAAUAAAGUUUUCCACGUGUGGAAUUUUGUAUGUACCAUAUGAAUAAGGAUCGGCUAACUCCGUGCCAGCAGCCGCGGUAAUACGGAGGAUCCGAGCGUUAUCCGGAUUUAUUGGGUUUAAAGGGAGCGUAGGUGGACAGUUAAGUCAGUUGUGAAAGUUUGCGGCUCAACCGUAAAAUUGCAGUUGAUACUGGCUGUCUUGAGUACAGUAGAGGUGGGCGGAAUUCGUGGUGUAGCGGUGAAAUGCUUAGAUAUCACGAAGAACUCCGAUUGCGAAGGCAGCUCACUGGACUGCAACUGACACUGAUGCUCGAAAGUGUGGGUAUCAAACAGGAUUAGAUACCCUGGUAGUCCACACAGUAAACGAUGAAUACUCGCUGUUUGCGAUAUACAGUAAGCGGCCAAGCGAAAGCAUUAAGUAUUCCACCUGGGGAGUACGCCGGCAACGGUGAAACUCAAAGGAAUUGACGGGGGCCC